CGGGAUGUAGUAUAGUGGUAGUAUGCAAGGCUGGGGGUCUUGUAGCGGGAGUUCGAUUCUCCCCAUCCCGA
rnacentral:tRNA from 4 species